AUACGUAGGUGGCAAGCGUUGUCCGGAUUUAUUGGGUUUAAAGGGAGCGCAGGCGGAGAUGCAAGCGUGACGUCAAAUUUCGGGGCUCAACCCCGUCUCGCGUCGCGAACUGCGUCCCUUGGUUGCGGGAAGGGGAGGCGGAACUCGUGGUGUAGCGGUGAAAUGCAUAGAUAUCACGAAGAACUCCGAUCGCGAAGGCAGCCUUCCGGCCCGUCAACGACGCUCAUGCUCGAAGGUGCGGGUAUCAAACAGGAUUAGAUACCCUGGUAGUCCGCACAGUAAACGAUGGACACCCGCGGUUUGGCCUGUGUGGCUGAGCCGCCAAGCGAAAGCGUUAAGUGUCCCACCUGGGGAGUACGCCGGCAACGGUGAAACUCAAAUGAAUUGACGGGG
rnacentral:rRNA from 1 species